rnacentral:rRNA from 1 species
ACUGCUAAUACUCUAUACUCCUGUCUUACAUAAGUUAGAUAGGGAAAGUUUUUCGGUGUAGGAUGAGGCUAUAUUGUAUCAGCUAGUUGGUGAGGUAAUGGCUCACCAAGGCUAUGACGCAUAACUGGUCUGAGAGGAUGAUCAGUCACACUGGAACUGAGACACGGUCCAGACUCCUACGGGAGGCAGCAGUAGGGAAUAUUGCUCAAUGGGGGAAACCCUGAAGCAGCAACGCCGCGUGGAGGAUGACACUUUUCGGAGCGUAAACUCCUUUUGUUAGGGAAGAAUAAUGACGGUACCUAACGAAUAAGCACCGGCUAACUCCGUGCCAGCAGCCGCGGUAAUACGGAGGGUGCAAGCGUUACUCGGAAUCACUGGGCGUAAAGGACGCGUAGGCGGAUUAUCAAGUCUCUUGUGAAAUCCUAUGGCUUAACCAUAGAACUGCUUGGGAAACUGAUAAUCUAGAGUGAGGGAGAGGCAGAUGGAAUUGGUGGUGUAGGGGUAAAAUCCGUAGAGAUCACCAGGAAUACCCAUUGCGAAGGCGAUCUGCUGGAACUCAACUGACGCUAAUGCGUGAAAGCGUGGGGAGCAAACAGGAUUAGAUACCCUGGUAGUCCACGCCCUAAACGAUGUAUACUAGUUGUUGCUAAGCUAGUCUUGGCAGUAAUGCACCUAACGGAUUAAGUAUACCGCCUGGGGAGUACGGUCGCAAGAUUAAAACUCAAAGGAAUAGACGGGGACCCGCACAAGCGGUGGAGCAUGUGGUUUAAUUCGAAGAUACGCGAAGAACCUUACCCGGACUUGAUAUCUAACAAAUCAUCCAGAGAUGGAAGAGUGUCUGCUUGCAGAAAUGUUAAGACAGGUGCUGCACGGCUGUCGUCAGCUCGUGUCGUGAGAUGUUGGGUUAAGUCCCGCAACGAGCGCAACCCACGUCAUUAGUUGCUAACAGUUCGGCUGAGCACUCUAAUGAGACUGCCUUCGUAAGGAGGAGGAAGGUGUGGACGACGUCAAGUCAUCAUGGC